GAUGUGUGUCUUAUGUGUUGGUAGGGUUGUGUGAGGACACCCAAAAUUUGGUGGGAUGCCAGGUGUUGGUGCAGAAUGGCCACCUUAGUGACAACCUCGUGUCGUCCAUUGCCGUGGUGACAGUCAAAGUCUACAAGAAAACCAUCAGCAUCAGCAGGGAACAUGCUGGAAAAAUCAUGACUGAUGAGCAGUUGGUCAAUCUCCCGUAGCACUACAGUGAAAGAAAGAUUGUUGUCUAUUGUCACGGGCAGGACGUGGUGGAAGUGACCAAUUUUGGCCUUGUUGUCACCUAUGACUGGUACAGCCACAUCACCACCAUGGUGCUAGUGGCUUCACCAAUGCCCUGUGUGGGCUCUGUGGGAGCUACAAUGGCACUGCAAGCGAUGACAUGAUGAUGAGGAACAACCAUGUGACGUCAGACCCAGAUGCCUUCAGGAGCAGCUGGAAGGUCACAGAUGUCCCAGGAUGUGGUGAGAGGUCAACAGUGGAAUGUUCCAGCACCCUUGCACCUUCCUGGCUGCAGCAGGAAGUCUCUGAGAUGGGGUGUGAAAUUAUUUUGGAAGUGGGUGGACUCUUUAGAGGAUGUCAUGGUCAUGUUGAUGGCCAUCAGUACUUCUAAAGCUGCAUCCAUGACUCCUGCCUGUUCCCUGAUCAGGAAGAAGGGAUGUGUCCAAUCAUUGCCCUCUACGCCACCACAUGCCAGGCUGCUGGUGUGUCCAUUGAGAGGUGGAGGACAGAUAAUUUCUACUGUAAAUUGGGACAAUGGGAGGGUUUUUCCUUCAGCAGUAUACAAAGGAUCCUCAAGUCUGCUCCAAAUCUAUGUAUGAACAACCCAGAGGCACAUGGGAAUCCCACCCAAAGUCUUGGUUGAUCCCAUAAUUCACCCAAAAUAAACCCUUCCUAAGGAAGAAGUUGUCUCAUCUGGAAUACCUUACCCCCUCAAAAUCUCCAAUUUCCUGGUGUUGGCUACAAAGUGGAUAAUUUAGAGGGAGAACCACCAAAAAAUGUACUAAAAAUAGUGGAAUUGGGUUAAAGGGAUCCAGCCUGGAGGUCAGUUGAGGACCCAGUGUGGAGCAAUCCCAUUCUUUGAGUGAAUAUUUCAUUUUUCGCCAUAAAAAUGUGAGAAAUCGUGUGGUUUAGAGGAAGAAUUCCUAUUGUAAUGGGAUGGCAUAUUCCUUAUGGAUGAUCAUUGGAUCAUCAUCAGAUAAUCGUUGGAUUGUCAUUUGAUGAUGCCCCUUGUCAUGUGCACAGGGAUGAAAAUCAAGUUUGCCAUGGGCUAAAAAGCUCUGUAUUAGGUGAAGUUUGCACUUGAAUUCCAGGAAACUUCCAGGAUUUGGCUUGGAAUUUCCUGGUUCCUCAUGAAUCCCAUUGUCUCCUGGCAGAUAUUCCCUGUCCUUCCAACAGCUCCAAUGAGCUCUGCUCGCACACCUGCCAGCACACCUGCGGCGCUGACUCUGCCACAUGCCAAGGGCAGUGCCACGAGGGCUGCAUGUGUCAGGAUGGCGUCGACAAGUGUGUGCCCAUGUCCCACUGCAGCUGCAGCCACCAUGGAGUCUACUACAAAGAGGGGGAGACAUUCUACCCCACAGAGCAGGAGAUGUGCCAGUGCCUCUCUGGUGGCACUGUGGAGUGCCAAAAUACUUUCUGUCAUGUUGGCCAUGGGAAGGUUGUCAGUGAUGUCUUCCAAUGUACCUCGCAGGUGUCCAGCACCUGUGUGGCCACAAGGGACCACACCUAUGUCACCUUUGAUGGGAUGGCCUUCAACAUCGCUGGUACUUACUCAUAUGUCCUCACCCAGACCGGUACAGUGUGACCGUGUUCACAGGCAUUCUUGGAUGAGGGAAGAGACGAGAAUAUUGACUCCAUGUUCAGAAGGCUUGAUUUAUUAUUUUAUGAUAUAUAUAUAUAUUACAUUAUGACUAUACUAAAAAGAAAAAGGAGGACAGGUUUUCCCAGAUGCUAACAUCUGGGAAUAGAAUAGAAAAGAAUAGAAAAUAAAAAAAUGAUAACAAA